GCGUCUGUACGAACAAGUUGGAGUCAGCUAAUACAAUAGCGCUUAUUCAACAGAGCAUUUUCUUCAAUAUCCAGGUCUGGAAGGCCGCAACUCCGGACAUAUUGCCUCGACCAAGGAGAAGAGCAUAGGAAGAUGAGA